UUUCCGUAGGUGAACCUGCGGAAAGAUCAUUAAUGAGUUGUCAUGGGGUUCGAUGCUGGCAGCCAGUUUUUGGAUGCAUGUGCUUGCCCUAGCAAUCAUCUUCUUCCAAACACCUGUGCACAUUUUUGAGGGAGUCUUGAGUUGGUUGCCGCUCUUGGGUGAUUUUCUCACAUUCCCUUAAAUCAUUAUACGCUAUUAACAAUGUUGAACGUGCUCUGUGCCGCAAGGCCAUUAAUAUAAUACAACUUUUAACAACGGAUCUCUUGGCUCUC
rnacentral:misc_RNA from 1 species